rfam:Zea mays cultivar B73 chromosome 4, whole genome shotgun sequence.
AAUCUAGUAUUGAUCUCAAUCCACUUGUAUUGAAGUGGAUUAGAGUGUAACUUAAACUAAUUUACACCCUAAUCCACCUCAACACAUGUGGAUUGGGCCCAAUACUAGA